ACGGGGUGCAGCAGGCGCGAACAUUUUACAAUGCGGGAAACCGCGAUAAGGGAACCCCGAGUGCCAGCAUCAAAUGUUGGCUGUCCAGAUGAUUAAAAAUCAUUUGUUAGCAAGGGCCGGGCAAGACCGGUGCCAGCCGCCGCGGUAACACCGGCGGCCCGAGUGGUAGCCGUUUUUAUUGGGUCUAAAGGGUCCGUAGCCGGCCUGAUAAGUCCUUUGGGAAAUCUGGCAGCUUAACUGUCAGGCUUCUAAGGGAUACUGUCAGGCUUGGGACCGGAAGAGGUAAGGGGUACUCCAGGGGUAGGAGUGAAAUCUUGUAAUCCCUGGGGGACCAUCUGUGGCGAAGGCGCCUUACCAGAACGGGUCCGACGGUGAGGGACGAAAGCUAGGGGAGCAAACCGGAUUAGAUACCCGGGUAGUCCUAGCUGUAAACGAUGCUCGCUAGGUGUCAGACACGGUGCGACCGUGUUUGGUGCCGCAGGGAAGCCGUUAAGCGAGCCACCUGGAAGUACGUCGCAAGGC
rnacentral:rRNA from 1 species